UAAGGCUGUAUCCGAAUUGCGUCCCUGGCCACUCCGAAUUGCGUCCCGAGCUCUUAUCCGAAUUGCGUCCGGUGCAUAUUCGGGAAGGUGGCAACACCGCAUAUGAAAGGCAAUGUCAAUCGAUGAUUUCAUCACUCGACGGUACGGGUCUAAGUGCAAAAUUAGCAAAAAUUAACUCUGCAAAAAAAGCGCUUCCCUCACAGCUUACUGAAAAAGAAAUCUACGUCGCAGAAGAGAUGAGCAACUAUAAUGUUGAAGCUAUUCCUCGCUUGAAGUUCAUAAAACGUGUUUCCUUCAAAUUUUUGCCUGUAAAAAAGUGAUUUUUCAAGUGAAACUACCUUGACGAAAGGGCCCUUCACACCCUGGAUUAUUUGUUUUAAAGUUCAUGACGAGACUCUUUCAAUCUCAAUUCGCCAAACGUUUUUCGUAUUGUGAGAACUUUUGUCAACCGAACGCUACCAUUCACCGCUCUAUUCCUAUUUAUUUUGUUCUACUUUCCGGACGUUGGUAUCAACAUGAGAAAAAGUUUUAGAUGGUAGUGGUUCCUGCCUUUAGCUAGGAGCCAUGUGGUUCACACUGACGGUAGUUCUCUCGAUCCUCUCACUUCUGGAAUUACCAAUACACUUUCACGCUGAGGGUUCUGAAAAAACUCAACGGCAAGAUUCGCUGAGCUUUGGGGGCCGGGCCGUAGGGGCGAUUAGGAAAGUCAUCGGGGCGGGUAAAGCUCGGAAGUCUCGAAUUUCAUCGGGAAGUUUCAAUGGUUCAAUCGGGAGCUCCAGAGAUGGUGGAAGUCAAGUUGGCGAUGACGGUAGAUGGGGCAUGGACGCCUGCACGCACAAAAGACAAUCACGAUGGGAACGUUGCUUGCUGCACUUUCAAAGAAAUGAAAGAUCCAGGAAACUAAAGCGUAAUUUUUCGAGAGCUGGUUCAUGGUUAGGAGUCAAACUUGGUAUGGAAAAUAAGAAAGAAGAGAGAAAUAAAGCCAUUCGCGAAAGCGGGAGAGAGCUCGAAAAUAAACUCGUCGAUUAUCUGUUCCAAGAUAUCAAAGAUGAGUCCCUUUUCUCUGCCGACACCGACCACAAAAGAGAUGUUCGGGGUUACUUGCCAUCUGAAGGAUGGGGACCGGAACCGGACACUCCGGACAAGUUCCAGAUGGAAGUGACUGGCGAAUAUAAUUUUGAUACAAGGGACCCGGACGCCAUCACCAAGUUCUGCAUUCUUCGGUGCUUGAAGAUUUACGGCUACAUUUUCGACGAAUACUUACCGGACCCUAAUGUCGGAUUCAUCACGGAAGGCGGCGAAAAUUUGAAAGGGAGGGGUAGGAUAAUUCCUAUAACUCGAGGUAAUGUACGAUUCAAUGGAGAGAUGAGGAACAGAGGAGGGUCGCCGCGAAAGUUCAUCAGAAAGGAAUCUUUCAACAAACUCUUUUGUGAAUGCGAAAUUCGUAAUCAGUUCAUAGAAUUUAUCGAAACUUGUGAGGCUGGUGACAUCUUGAAUCAGUUCAGGGAGCUUAAGAAAACAUCUUCCGGAAAGCAGUGCACUAUUUGAAGACAAACCUGGCCAAAGUAGGUGCAUACGAUUGGCUCCCACACCCGGAGGUGCUGGGACUCCUCUAUCUGGAAAUGCGACAACGCGAGAGCCCAUUUCCUGUUGGAAUGCACCCCUACAAAAUAAGGAAUAUGGUUGUUACCGCUGUGGGAGUUCCGGACAACGCCGAGGAUUAUAACAGAUGGUUUAAAUAUGGGACGGCCUAAAUCGAAUAAAUCAAAAUAAUCGAAUAAGUACUGGACCAUAGACAGGAACAGUGGCGGAUCCAGAGUGCGUUGGAGGGGGCCAUUUGCUGAUGUCGAGUGGGCAUUCCGGUGGGCGCUUCUUAAAGCAAGGGGGGCCCGACGGGCCUCCCCCAAUACAUUUUAUAAAAGUAGCCCUUCCCAAAUUGAAUUUGAAGCAGUUUCAGCAUAUGAUUUGUGCAUUAUUUAAAAGUCGAAAAUUGACGAAUAAUAUACCCUCUCUUAGCGUAGUUUUAUUUUAGUAAGGGACUGUUUAUUUCUGCGGUGUUGAGUAUCAGUUAAAAAUGGACAAAAGGGCAGGAGCAUGCAACUAAACAAUGUAUUAUAUGUGAGUAACAUUCCAGACAUCAUAAUGAUAAUACGAGUAAAAACAUAGUUCUGUCUUAAAACCAGUUCGGUAAGUUUUUAGAAGACCUUUUUCUUCUCUCUCUUGCCCCUCUUCUCCUCUCUCCUCCCUUUGGCCCCUCUUUUCCUUUUUUUCUUUUUUGGGCGCAUGCCACCAUGCCCCCCCCUGGAUCCGCCACAAAACAGGGACAGGGCACGAAAGUGACCGCAAUAACAUUCGAUAGCGAUAGACGUACUAUAAUUCUUCACGUUUAACCCAUAAGUUACAAAAUUAUUAUUUUUGUCGGCGGUAAUGCAGUAAUGCACUUUCAAAGAUAAAGAGUAUCCGGAUUGCGUGAUGCGGAAGUUGGUAGAACAAUAUCUUCGGUCAAAGUGCGAGACCGUGUAUUUCCGUUUGUAACGUUGCAGAUUUCCUGUCUCACUUUAUUUUUUAUUUGGAAAACUAGUCAAAGUAAUUUCUUGAGAACCUCCUUGACCUUUUUUCUCUGUUACUAGAAUCAGGGGCGGACUGGCCAUGUGGGUGGGGAGGCGAUCGCCCCUAAAAAUUCGCCGCGGAGGUCCCGAAGGGGCCCCCGCGGCGAAUUGUUUUCGAGUCAUCGUUUUUUCCCCCGUAAUGUUGUAAUUUUCCUAACCUUUUCAGUCACUAAGAGCCCCCAAAAUCCUUGAAAUUUUGUCUCUAUGAGACAUGAAAGGUCGCCUAAAGCUUAUGUGAUGAAGGGGCCCCCGAGGAAUCCUGAGAAUGGAUUAUUUUGGAGUUUAAUACUGUAGAAUUUGACUCCAAUAAUGCUUAAAAUUGCGUUUGAAAAGUGUGAAAUGUUCAAAAUUUUCCGAGAGAGGGGCCCCCAAACGAUAGAAGGGGCCCCCAAACGAUAGAAGGGGCCCCCAUAUCUAGGUCGCCUCCUGACUUUUCGACUACCAGUCCGCCCCUGACUAGAAUAGUUUGCGUAAAUUUCAAGCUGUAAAUUUGGCUUUUUUCCUCCUCGAAAUAAUAAAAACGUAGUUUUAAAUGAAAAAUACAUUUGGUCUUCUAUUUCAACAGUUCAUGAAUUGUACUAUUCAAAUACAAUCAUGAGCUAUACCCACAAUCCGUGUGUUUUCUCAAAAAUUAAGUUAAAAAUUAACUGUUUGCUAAACGAGUUAAACCUCAGAUCCUCAAGACUUUCUGUAAACACGUAUUUCCAAGUCUGGUCAAAUUGACCAGUUUUUUAAGAAAUGUAUUUUGAUAAGUUUCCGUAGUAUUAUCUAUGUUAUUUCUAUUUCAUUGCAGUUAAAAAAAUACUCAUUUUUUAAAUUUUCACCUUUUUGGUAACAUAUGUAUAUGUACUGGCAAUUUCUCACCUUUUCUUCUCAUCCAUCAUAUGUAACUCCAUCAGAAAAGGUCAGUUGACCUUGGUCAAUUUGACCCGGCUUGAAAGCUAGGGGUAGUCGCCAAAAAAUAAUUCACUAACUUCACAUAACUCCCGCCAAAACAACAACUUUUAGAUGUACACCCUUUACGAAGCUCGAAAGACCUCUAACGAUUUUUUUAAUAAUUAUUGAUUUGAAAACAUCAUAGCAUUAAUUUAACGUUAUCUUCUCUCACAUUUCAAAAAUGAAAGACACCUCAACACGUGUUGAUGACAGCACUGAGAUACAACUAUUCGUGCCUGGUCGAUGUCCAUGUUGCGUACGCAAAUUGAAGGCGCGGUGCGUUGCUGGAGGCGUGAACUCACACUGCUCUAUGCUGCCAAUGAGGCGUCUUCUAGGCUCGGAAGAAAACUUAAAUAUAAAAAAUGAGGCCCGAAAAUGUCUCUUCAUCUUCGGCUGUGUCAAUACUCGU
rnacentral:lncRNA from 1 species